rnacentral:piRNA from 1 species
ACCGAACGUAGUGAGAGGUUGGGCGC